AGAAUGUGAAAUAUCAUUAUUCUUCAAUAACCCUGAAUUAGUUUUUAAAAUCUUUUUUUUAGGGGUUAUAGGGGUAGAUUUGAGUUUUGUGGAUAAAAAAAUGAUACUUGCAAUUGUAAUACAUGUAUAUAAUGGGUAAAAAGUUGAAAAAAUAUAUAAUUACUUGAAAAUAACCAAUCUAUGUAUAGCUGUUGCUUUCAAAGCUAUUUAUCUUAAUCUAAAUCAGAUGAAUAUUUUUAUGUAGUUACAUGUUGUUGUAAAUGCAGAUAGCUAGCUUAUUCAUAAGUUGUUUGACAACUUUUGAAAAAUCAUUUACACUCUUGAAUUUAUUAGAAAUGUGAGUUGACUUUUGCCUGUGAUUUUUUUUUUUUUUUGUUAUUAUUUAAACUUGUCUUCUUUUGUUGGUUGUGUUAGAUUUUGGUUAGUUUUAGUUAAUCAUGACAUGGUCAGCCAUUGUAAGAACUCUGGAUCAGGUGUGCUGUAACAGUAAAUAAAUUGUUAGAAUGUUAUACAUUAAACAAACAUGCAAUUC
rnacentral:misc_RNA from 1 species